UACGUAGGGGGCAAGCGUUGUCCGGAUUUAUUGGGCGGAAAGGGCACGCAGGCGGUCUUGCGCGUUUCGAGUGACAGGUGGUGGCUUAACUGCCACAGGCCUCGGAAAACGGCAAGACUUGAGGACUUCAGAGGGACGCGGAAUUCCAGGUGGAGCGGUGAAAUGCGUAGAGAUCUGGAAGAACACCAAAGGCGAAGGCAGCGUUCUGGGAAGUAUCUGACGCUCAGGUGCGAAAGCCAGGGGAGCGAACGGG
rnacentral:rRNA from 1 species